rnacentral:rRNA from 1 species
AGGACGAACGCUGGCGGCGUGCUUAACACAUGCAAGUCGAGCGGUAAGGCCUUUCGGGGUACACGAGCGGCGAACGGGUGAGUAACACGUGGGUGAUCUGCCCUGCACUCUGGGAUAAGCCUGGGGAAACUGGGUCUAAUACCGGAUAUGACCUGCUCUCGCAUGGGGGUGGGUGGAAAGAUUUAUCGGUGCAGGAUGGGGCCCGCGGCCUAUCAGCUUGUUGGUGGGGUAAUGGCCUACCAAGGCGACGACGGGUAGCCGACCUGAGAGGGUGACCGGCCACACUGGGACUGAGACACGGCCCAGACUCCUACGGGAGGCAGCAGUGGGGAAUAUUGCACAAUGGGCGAAAAGCCUGACUGCACGCGA